rnacentral:rRNA from 1 species
GACGAACGCUGGCGGCGGGCUUAACACAUGCAAGUCGAACGGGACGGCCCUGCUUUUGUGGGGUGCUCGGGGGGCGAACGGGUGAGUAACCCGUGUCUACCCUGCCCCUGCCUUAGGGAUAACUUCAGGAAACUUGGGCUAAUACCGGAUAGGAGCUCCCGCUGCAUGGUGGGGGUUGGAUAGUUUCGGUGGUUGGGGAUGGACUCGCGGCGUAUCAGCUUGUUGGGUGGGUAGUGGCUUACCAAGGCUAUGCCGGGUAGCCUGCCUGAGCGGGUGACCGGCCACACUGGGACGGAGAUACGGCCCGGACUCGAACGGGAGGCAGGGGAGGAGUAGAGUGCACUAGGGACGGGAGGCUACCGUGGCAACGCCGCGUGGCGGAUGAGGGCAAGGGGGUAGGAAUGCGAAGUCGCCUGUGACGAGGAGUGAGUGACGGUAAUAGCAGAAGAAGCACCGGCUAACUACGUG